CCCUUAGAUGUUCUGGGCCGCACGCGCGCUACACUGAGCCCUUCAUCGAGUUUACAACCUUGGCCGGUAGGUCUGGGUAAUCUUCUCAAAGGGGCUCGUGCUGGGGAUAGAUUAUUGUAAUUUUUAAUCUUCAACGAGGAAUUCCUAGUAAACGCAAGUCAACAGCUUGCAUUGAUUACGUCCCUGCCCUUUGUACACACCGCCCGUCGCUACUGCCGAUUGAAUGGCUUAGUGAGCCCGAGGGACUGUUGCACCUAGAGGGUUUUCUCUCCAGGAGCAGCCGGGAACUCGGUCAAACUUGAUCAUUUAGAGGAAGUAAAAGUCGUAACA
rnacentral:rRNA from 1 species